AUGGAGAUUAGACACGACCAAACGGUACACGGAGCAGCAGCGGCGGCGGCGGCUCGGAUCAAGCGCUUUGUUUGUAGUAGGCGAGUACUGGUUUCCUGCUGUUCGCCACUAACCAACCAACUACAACUAGUAGCAAGGGCAUCAUGGUCCCAGAGAUUGUGGCUGGCUGUUGUUUGUUUUGAUUUUCGUUCCGUCUCUCUCGUGUGUGACUCGAAGUUCCAAUGGAUUGACUGCCUCUCUGCCUGUGUGCUUUCUGGUGGUGAGGUUGGAACUACACUGAAAGAGUGUUCAGUUAACACUGUUGGCCUUCCUAUGAAUAUCUUGUACUACAAAAUGGCAGGGCAGGUGCAGGACCUUUGUCAUGCAUUUAGCUCAAGGAGUUCAUAA
rnacentral:rRNA from 1 species